rnacentral:rRNA from 1 species
UAUUAACUCUUUCUUCGUGCCUAAUACAUGCAAGUCGAGCGAACAGACGAGGAGCUUGCUCCUCUGACGUUAGCGGCGGACGGGUGAGUAACACGUGGAUAACCUACCUAUAAGACUGGGAUAACUUCGGGAAACCGGAGCUAAUACCGGAUAAUAUAUUGAACCGCAUGGUUCAAUAGUGAAAGACGGUUUUGCUGUCACUUAUAGAUGGAUCCGCGCCGCAUUAGCUAGUUGGUAAGGUAACGGCUUACCAAGGCGACGAUGCGUAGCCGACCUGAGAGGGUGAUCGGCCACACUGGAACUGAGACACGGUCCAGACUCCUACGGGAGGCAGCAGUAGGGAAUCUUCCGCAAUGGGCGAAAGCCUGACGGAGCAACGCCGCGUGAGUGAUGAAGGUCUUCGGAUCGUAAAACUCUGUUAUUAGGGAAGAACAAAUGUGUAAGUAACUAUGCACGUCUUGACGGUACCUAAUCAGAAAGCCACGGCUAACUACGUG